AUGAAACAGGAAAAGGGAGGUUGCAUUAUCCCAGCCUUUCACACCGAGACAACUGCUUUGGGGAUCACUGCGUGCAGACCUGGCGCUGUGAGCUGGGCAGGGAGGAGCCGGGAGGGUGCUGAGAAGAGCCAGAGGAUGACUGCAGCUCUGGAAAAGAUGCCAUGCUUCAGAGCUGCCAGGAUACAGCCUGCUCGUUGGAUGGAAGAGAAGGUCACGGGUGAUUUGGGCAUCAUUUGGUCACUGGGGAAAACUGCAAGAAGCCCUGGAGCUGCUCUCUGGCUCUUCUAGCUCUGAAACAUCCCCACCGUUCACUGCUUCAGCAGCUGCAGAAGUGAUUUGCCUCAUGAGAAGAACUGUGAACCGUCUGCAUCCCAGGAUAGGGAACACAGGACCAACCAUUACUACAACAGCUUCGUGUCAAGUUUUGCAAAAUAUCUGUAGCCACGAACACUCCUCGCAGCAGAGCUGAGCUCCCUGUGCCUGCCUGGGUCUGCUUACUCCUGGAACCCACCCAGGGCUUUUCCCUCUGUGCUAGCCCCACAGGAGCCAUCCAUGAGACAGAAAGCUGAUUCUGCUCACCAGAAAUGUAGCAUUUUGAUUAUUGCCAUGCACCAGGAAGAACCACUCUUGGAGCCAGAUACAAGGCUGGGCUCAUACGGUGGGCAUUGGGGGUCAGGAAGUUAUCGCUUUAUUUGUAAACAUGAGAAAACUUCAUCUGGAGUCAAUAAAAACACGGAGUCCCAUGGGGCCUUUUUCUGAGUCAAGCAAUAAAUACAAAGAUCUCAUCCUCACAGCGAAGGGAAAUUGGCAAAGAACAGCGGCAUAAUCAUAUGGUACGUCGUAUAUCUGCGGGCCCUUUGAUCCCAGGAUAUUUACAAAUAUUAAUGAGUCAUGCUUCUCAAGCACCUUUUUGGAAGGUAUCAUUAGAUCGUUUUCCAGAUGGGGAAACCCAAGGGAGAGAGAAGUGAUCCUUCCAUAGCCACACAGAGCGUCUGUGACACAGCCAAAAGCAGAAACCAGAUAUUCUUGCUUCCAGUCCUUUGUUUUUAAUUAUAGCAACAUUCUUCCUCUCGUAUUUUAGGUUGUAUUUUAUGGCAAGUCAUAUAUGAAUACACACCUAUGCAUGACAUUUCUUUCUGGUUUGCCUUCCACCAGUCACACUAAUACUUUACCCCUUACACUAAAUGAAUUUUAACUGACCCUUUUAUUGCAGAAAACUCAAUAAUAAAUAUAUACCACAGUCACACAGAUAGUGCUCCUCAUAAAAAAUAGUAAUUGUCUUUAUGAGCAAGCAAAACGAUAUUGGAAAUUUAAAAGCAGAUGCAUCUUGAAUGUUUGAGAGGGAAAAUUUAACAGAAUUCAUGUGGAGGUAUACACAUGAGCAAAUGCAAAAUAAUGCUCUGCUGUGCUGUCUUGGUCAAGUUCAGUAACUUUCACACUAUAUCUUAGAGGCUCAAACUUACCAACACAGAAUUUAUUAUCUGUUGGUUUGAUGGAGAAGUAGAAAAGAAAGAAAAGAAAAAAUUGUCAAGUACUCUCAAGUAUGUGAAAAAGCAGCUAUCUAUCAGCUUCUUUGUUCUGGGGAUCUGAUAAAAGAAGCAGCGUCCUUUAGUGACACACCACCUAGCCCUGCUUUUUUGCUCCUGGUGUGGAUAAGCAAGGACAGUUGUCAAUGGACGAUCUAACCCACAGAGGCUCUGCUUUCCUCUAGAACACCACAGCACUUUCUUUCUUUCUUUCUUUCUUUCUUUCUUUCUUUCUUUCUUUCUUUCUUUCUUUCUUUCUUUCUUUCUUUCUUUCUUUCUUUCUUUCUUUCCUUCCUUCCUUCCUUCCUUCCUUCCUUCCUUCCUUC
rnacentral:lncRNA from 1 species